CAUACCAAAAAUACAAUACAGCUUGAGAACAAUAUUAUAAAAAUAUAAUUUUUCAACAAUGCUUGAGAAACACUUAUGUUCCACAAACUUUUCUCAAAUCUGUCCUUUUUUGACAAAUUAGUUUUGAUUUUUUGUGAAAAAUGUCAGCAAAAAAAUAUUUUCUUUGGUAAAAAACAAAAUCACGCGAAUUUGGGACCCAUUUCUGGACCGAACUCUUAAGAUUGAAAGCAUAAAAAAAGUUUCAGGAAUUCAAUAGAUGUGUAGUCUUAUUGAAAGAGAUGCAGAAGCUCAAAUAAGGGAAAAGAAAGCGUCAGGGUAUCAAGGCCACAUGAGGCAGUGACUACUGGGAUGUCUAUCAAAAAAAAAGAUUAAAAAUUAAAAUAA